AAGGGAAGGAAAGGGAGGGGAAGGAGGGAAGGGAAGGGAAGGUAGAAAGAAAGAAAAGCAAAAUAAACAUACAACAGAGAGGAUCAACAAAAAUCUACCAAAGUAGAUUAUUUAAAAAGACUUAUUAACACCUGGCAAGACUGACU